rnacentral:lncRNA from 1 species
UAAAAAAAAACAUAUGAGAUGAGAGAUUAGAGAAGAUGAAAAAAAGAACAUAAGAGAUGUGAGAUUGAGAAGAAAAGUGCAAUAAAAACGUAAUUGAAAGAGAAAAUAGUAACAUAAAAGAUAAAAAAGAAAGAACAUAAUAGAUGACUUAUUAGAGUAGAAUAUGCGAGACCUACAUGGAAAAGAAGAUGAGAAGAAUGUGUGAUAC